UACAGAGGGGGCAAGCGUUGUUCGGAAUUACUGGGCGUAAAGGGCGCGUAGGCGGCCUGCUAAGUCGAACGUGAAAUCCCCGAGCUCAACUCGGGAACUGCGUCCGAUACUGGCAGGCUUGAAUCUGGGAGAGGGAUGCGGAAUUCCAGGUGUAGCGGUGAAAUGCGUAGAUAUCUGGAGGAACACCGGUGGCGAAGGCGGCAUCCUGGACCGGCAUUGACGCUGAGGCGCGAAAGCCAGGGGAGCAAACGGG
rnacentral:rRNA from 1 species